AGAGUUUGAUCAUGGCUCAGAUUGAACGCUGGCGGCAUGCUUAAUACAUGCAAGUCGAACGGUAACAGAUUCUUCGGAAUGCUGACGAGUGGCGGACGGGUGAGUAAUACAUAGGAAUCUGCCCAUGUAGUGGGGGACAACUUGGGGAAACUCAAGCUAAUACCGCAUAAUUCCUACGGGAUAAAGAGGGCCACUGCUUGCAAGCUCUUGCUACUGGAUGAGCCUAUGUCGGAUUAGUUAGUUGGUAAGGUAAUGGCUUACCAAGACAGCGAUCCGUAGCUGGUUUGAGAGGAUGAUCAGCCACACUGGGACUGAGACACGGCCCAGACUCCUACGGGAGGCAGCAGUAGGGAGUAUUGGACAAUGGGCGCAAGCCUGAUCCAGCAAUGCCGCGUGUGUGAAGAAGGCCUGCGGGUUGUAAAGCACUUUCAAUUGGGAAGAAAGAUUAUGAGUUAAUAUCUUAUAAUAUUGACG
rnacentral:rRNA from 1 species